rnacentral:rRNA from 1 species
AGCAGCCGCGGUAAUUCCAGCUCCAAUAGCGUAUAUUAAAGUUGUUGCAGUUAAAAAGCUCGUAGUUGAAUUUCGGAAUUUGUCGGUUGGUCGGGCUUCACUGUCCGCACUGGCCUGAUGAAUUCCUACCUUCUGAAUAACCAGCAUGCUAUUAAUUUAGUGCGUUGGGGAAGCAGAGCUAUUACCUUGAAAAAAUUAGAGUGCUUAAAGCAGGCUCACGCUUGAAUAGAUUAGCAUGGAAUAAUAAAAUAGGACGGCUUGGUUCUAUUUUGUUGGUUUCUAGGAUCACCGUAAUGAUUAAUAGGGAUAGUUGGGGGCAUUAGUAUUCAAUUGUCAGAGGUGAAAUUCUUGGAUUUAUUGAAGACUAACUUCUGCGAAAGCAUUUGCCAAGGAUGUUUUCAUUAAUCAAGAACGAAAGUUAGGGGAUCGAAGACGAUCAGAUACCGUCGUAGUCUUAACCAUAAACUAUGCCGACUAGGGAUCGGACGAUGUUAAUUUUUUAAUGACUCG